rnacentral:rRNA from 1 species
AGAAUCAACGCUGGCGGCGUGCCUAACACAUGCAAGUCGAACGAGAAAGUGGAGCAAUCCAUGAGUAAAGUGGCGCACGGGUGAGUAACACGUGACUAACCUACCCUUGAGUGGGGGAUAACCUAGAGAAAUCUGGGCUAAUACCGCAUAAUACCUUCGGGUCAAAGGAGCAAUUCGCUUAAGGAGGGGGUCGCGGCCGAUUAGUUAGUUGGCGGGGUAAUGGCCCACCAAGACUGUGAUCGGUAUCCGGCCUGAGAGGGCGCACGGACACACUGGAACUGAAACACGGUCCAGACUCCUACGGGAGGCAGCAGUGGGAAUUUUGCGCAAUGGGGGAAACCCUGACGCAGCAACGCCGCGUGGAGGAUGAAGCCCCUUGGGGCGUAAAACUCCUUUCGAUCGGGAAGAUAAUGACGGUACCGAGAGAAGAAGCCCCGGCUAACUUCGCGCCAGCAGCCGC